UGGGGAAUUUUGGACAAUGGGCGCAAGCCUGAUCCAGCCAUGCCGCGUGAGUGAAGAAGGCCUUCGGGUUGUAAAGCUCUUUCGGCGGGGACGAAACGGUCCGUGCUAACACCACGGACUAAUGACGGUACUCGCAGAAGAAGCACCGGCUAACUACGUGCCAGCAGCCGCGGUAAUACGUAGGGUGCAGGCGUUAAUCGGAAUUACUGGGCGUAAAGCGUGCGCAGGCGGCUCCUUAAGUCAGAUGUGAAAGCCCCGGGCUUAACCUGGGAACUGCGUUUGAAACUGGGGAGCUAGAGUGUGGAAGAGGGGGGUGGAAUUCCAGGUGUAGCAGUGAAAUGCGUAGAGAUCUGGAGGAACACCGAUGGCGAAGGCAGCCCCCUGGGCUAACACUGACGCUCAUGCACGAAAGCGUGGGGAGCAAACAGGAUUAGAUACCCUGGUAGUCCACGCCCUAAACGAUGUCAACUAGUUGUCGGGGAAGCAAUUCCUUGGUAACGAAGCUAACG
rnacentral:rRNA from 1 species